rnacentral:rRNA from 1 species
AGAGUUUGAUCAUGGCUCAGGAUGAACGCUGGCGGUAUGCUUAACACAUGCAAGUCGAACGGGCUCUUCGGAGCUAGUGGCGGACGGGUGAGUAACGCGUGAGAAUCUGGCUUCAGGUUCGGGACAACAGUUGGAAACGGCUGCUAAUACCGGAUGUGCCUUAUGGUGAAAGAUUUAUCACCUGAAGAUGAGCUCGCGUCUGAUUAGCUAGUAGGUGUGGUAAGAGCGCACCUAGGCGACGAUCAGUAGCUGGUCUGAGAGGAUGAUCAGCCACACUGGGACUGAGACACGGCCCAGACUCCUACGGGAGGCAGCAGUGGGGAAUUUUCCGCAAUGGGCGAAAGCCUGACGGAGCAAUACCGCGUGAGGGAGGAAGGCUCUUGGGUUGUAAACCUCUUUUCUCAGGGAAGAAUGAUGACGGUACCUGAGGAAUAAGCAUCGGCUAACUCCGUGCCAGCAGCCGCGGUAAUACGGAGGAUGCAAGCGUUAUCCGGAAUGAUUGGGCGUAAAGCGUCCGCAGGUGGCAAUGUAAGUCUGCUGUCAAAGACCGGGGCUUAACUUCGGAAAGGCAGUGGAAACUGAACAGCUAGAGUAUGGUAGGGGCAGAGGGAAUUCCUGGUGUAGCGGUGAAAUGCGUAGAGAUCAGGAAGAACAUCGGUGGCGAAGGCGCUCUGCUGGACCAUAACUGACACUCAGGGACGAAAGCUAGGGGAGCGAAUGGGAUUAGAUACCCCCGUAGUCC